AUUGAACGCUGGCGGCAUGCUUUACACAUGCAAGUCGAACGGUAACAGGCCUUCGGGUGCUGACGAGUGGCGAACGGGUGAGUAAUGCAUCGGAACGUGCCCAGAGGUGGGGGAUAACGCAGCGAAAGCUGUGCUAAUACCGCAUGUGAUCUGAGGAUGAAAGCGGGGGACCAGGCAGCAAUGUUUGGCCUCGCGCCUUUGGAGCGGCCGAUGUCAGAUUAGGUAGUUGGUGGGGUAAAGGCCUACCAAGCCGACGAUCUGUAGCUGGUCUGAGAGGACGACCAGCCACACUGGGACUGAGACACGGCCCAGACUCCUACGGGAGGCAGCAGUGGGGAAUUUUGGACAAUGGGCGCAAGCCUGAUCCAGCAAUGCCGCGUGCGGGAAGAAGGCCUUCGGGUUGCAAACCGCUUUUGUACGGAACGAAAAGGCUCUGGCUAAUACCUGGGGCUGAUGACGGUACCGUAAGAAUAAGCACCGGCUAACUACGUG
rnacentral:rRNA from 1 species